AUGAACGCUGGCGGCGUGCCUAAUACAUGCAAGUCGAGCGAACAGACGAGGAGCUUGCUCCUCUGACGUUAGCGGCGGACGGGUGAGUAACACGUGGAUAACCUACCUAUAAGACUGGGAUAACUUCGGGAAACCGGAGCUAAUACCGGAUAAUAUAUUGAACCGCAUGGUUCAAUAGUGAAAGACGGUUUUGCUGUCACUUAUAGAUGGAUCCGCGCCGCAUUAGCUAGUUGGUAAGGUAACGGCUUACCAAGGCGACGAUGCGUAGCCGACCUGAGAGGGUGAUCGGCCACACUGGAACUGAGACACGGUCCAGACUCCUACGGGAGGCAGCAGUAGGGAAUCUUCCGCAAUGGGCGAAAGCCUGACGGAGCAACGCCGCGUGAGUGAUGAAGGUCUUCGGAUCGUAAAACUCUGUUAUUGGGGAAGAACAAAUGUGUAAGUAACUAUGCACGUCUUGACGGUACCUAAUCAGAAAGCCACGGCUAACUACGUG
rnacentral:rRNA from 1 species